rnacentral:rRNA from 1 species
GAUGAACGCUGACAGAAUGCUUAACACAUGCAAGUCUUUGGCGAAGCUGUGCUUGCACAGCCUAGCCAAGGCGGACGGGUGAGUAACGCGUAAGGAACUUGCCCUGCAGUCAGGGAUAUCAGACGGAAACGACUGAUAAGACCUGGUAAAGUCAGGCGGACUCAUGUCCAGCCUGAUGAAAAGAGAUGCUGCAGGAGAGCCUUGCGUCCUAUUAGCUUGUUGGUGGGGUAACGGCCCACCAAGGCGAUGAUAGGUAGCCGGCCUGAGAGGGUGGACGGCCACAAGGGGACUGAGAUACGGCCCUUACUCCUACGGGAGGCAGCAGUGGGGAAUAUUGGACAAUGGGGGCAACCCUGAUCCAGCAAUUCUGUGUGCACGAUGAAGGUUUUCGGAUUGUAAAGUGCUUUCAGCAGGGAAGAAAAAAAUGACGGUACCUGCAGAAGAAGCGACGGCUAAAUACGUG